AAUUGAUCUGGUUCAGGAUGAACGCUAGCGACAGGCUAACACAUGCAAGUCGAGGGGCAUCACGGGAGUAGCAAUACAACGUGGUGGCGACCGGCGCACGGGUGAGUAACGCGUAUGCAACCUACCUAUCAGAGGGGAAUAACCCGGCGAAAGUCGGACUAAUACCGCAUAAAACAGGGGCACCGCAUGGUGAUAUUUGUUAAAGAAAUUCGCUGAUAGAUGGGCAUGCGUUCCAUUAGGUAGUUGGUGAGGUAACGGCUCACCAAGCCGACGAUGGAUAGGGAACUGAGAGGUUGGUCCCCCACACUGGUACUGAGACACGGACCAGACUCCUACGGGAGGCAGCAGUGAGGAAUAUUGGUCAAUGGGCGGGAGCCUGAACCAGCCAAGUCGCGUGAAGGAAGAAGGAUCUAUGGUUCGUAAACUUCUUUUGCAGGGGAAUAAAGUGCAGGACGUGUCCUGUUUUGUAUGUACCCUGAGAAUAAGGAUCGGCUAACUCCGUGCCAGCCGCGGC
rnacentral:rRNA from 1 species